AGGAAAGGAAAGAGCAUGGCCAUGGCUGCUGCUCACGGCUAGCCAUGGCCAAGGAAAUUAUAUUGCCUUUUUGCUUUGGUUUAAUUUUCAAGUGAUUUGCAAGUUUGCGGUGGUGAUAGCAACGUUGGAUAUUGAAUCGGGAAAGAAGAAAUUGAGAAAUUGGGGCAAUUAAGAGUAGAAAUUCCUCUGAGAAAAUUAAGGCUAAAAGAGCGACAAGGCGAACGGGUUAGCGAAUAGUUGCUAACAGCCCCAGAUUGUUUGACAGGUUAAGUAUACAGCUAGGAUGCUCUGACGUCUGCUGGGAUUGGCAAGUUCCACCUCAUUCUGGAGCUGUGCUGAGUCAUGUAUAGAUAUGUAUGAUUAUGGGUAUGUCAGGGCCCUGUCCUGACUCAUAGUGUCCAGUUUACUUCUUAGAGACUUCUGCAGACAGUAUCCUGUGGUAUGUUUGUCGAGAUGUCGACAAAGUGAUAUCAGUUGAGUCAUUUAUGGAUUUUAAAAGAGUAUGUAUUUCAGAUGAUUUA